rnacentral:misc_RNA from 1 species
GAUGAAGAACGUAGUGAAAUGCGAUAAGUAGUGUGAAUUGCAGAAUUCAGUGAAUCAUCGAAUCUUUGAACGCACAUUGCGCCCCUUGGUAUUCCAUGGGGCAUGCCUGUUCGAGCGUCAUUUGUACCUUCAAGCCUUGCUUGGUGUUGGGUGUUUGUCUCGCCUCUGCGCGCAGACUCGCCUCAAAACAAUUGGCAGCCGGCGUAUUGAUUUCGGAGCGCAGUACAUCUCGCGCUUUGCACUCACAACGGCGGCGUCCAAAAGUACAUUUUUACACUCUUGACCUCGGAUCAGGUAGGGAUACCCGCUGAACUUAAGCAUAUCAAUAAGCGGAGGA